GACAGAGGGGGCAAGCGUUGCUCGGAAUUACUGGGCGUAAAGCGUGCGCAGGCGGCGCGUUAAGACAGGUGUGAAAGCCCCGAGCUUAACUUGGGAAUUGCGCUUGUGACUGGCGUGCUGGAGUGUGGCAGAGGGAGGUGGAAUUCCACGUGUAGCAGUGAAAUGCGUAGAUAUCGGGAGGAACACCUGUGGCGAAAGCGGCGCACUGGACCACAACUGACGCUGAGGCGCGAAAGCUAGGGGGGCAAACAGG
rnacentral:rRNA from 1 species